rnacentral:rRNA from 1 species
UACGUAGGCAGCAAGCGUUGUUCGGAGUUACUGGGCGUAAAGGGUGCGUAGGCGGUUGUUUAAGUUUGGUGUGAAAUCUCCCGGCUCAACUGGGAGGGUGCGCCGAAUACUGAAUGACUAGAGUGCGGGAGAGGAGAGUGGAAUUCCUGGUGUAGCGGUGAAAUGCGUAGAUAUCAAGAGGAACACCUGAGGUGAAGACGGGUUGCUGGGCCGACACUGACGCUGAGUGCGCGAAAGCCAGGGGAGCAAACGGG